rnacentral:rRNA from 1 species
GACGAACGCUGGCGGCGUGCUUAACACAUGCAAGUCGAACGGAAAGGCCCUGCUUUUGUGGGGUGCUCGAGUGGCGAACGGGUGAGUAACACGUGAGUAACCUGCCCUUGACUUUGGGAUAACUUCAGGAAACUGGGGCUAAUACCGGAUAGGAGCUCCUGCUGCAUGGUGGGGGUUGGAAAGUUUCGGCGGUUGGGGAUGGACUCGCGGCUUAUCAGCUUGUUGGUGGGGUAGUGGCUUACCAAGGCUUUGACGGGUAGCCGGCCUGAGAGGGUGACCGGCCACAUUGGGACUGAGAUACGGACCAGACUCCUACGGGAGGCAGCAGUGGGGAAUAUUGCACAAUGGGCGGAAGCCUGAUGCAGCAACGCCGCGUGCGGGAUGACGGCCUUCGGGUUGUGAACCGCUUUCGCCUGUGACGAAGCGUGAGUGACGGUAAUGGGUAAAGAAGCACCGGCUAACUACGUG